rnacentral:rRNA from 1 species
UACGGAGGGGGUUAGCGUUGUUCGGAAUUACUGGGCGUAAAGCGUACGUAGGCGGAUCAGCAAGUAUAGGGUGAAAUCCCGGGGCUCAACCCCGGAACUGCCUUGUAAACUGUUGGUCUUGAGUUCGAGAGAGGUGAGUGGAAUUCCAAGUGUAGAGGUGAAAUUCGUAGAUAUUUGGAGGAACACCAGUGGCGAAGGCGGCUCACUGGCUCGAUACUGACGCUGAGGUACGAAAGUGUGGGGAGCAAACAGG